UGGGGAAUAUUGCACAAUGGGCGCAAGCCUGAUGCAGCCAUGCCGCGUGUAUGAAGAAGGCCUUCGGGUUGUAAAGUACUUUCAGCGGGGAGGAAGGCGAUAAGGUUAAUAACCUUGUCGAUGGACGUUACCCGCAGAAGAAGCACCGGCUAACUCCGUGCCAGCAGCCGCGGUAAUACGGAGGGUGCAAGCGUUAAUCGGAAUUACUGGGCGUAAAGCGCACGCAGGCGGUCUGUCAAGUCGGAUGUGAAAUCCCCGGGCUCAACCUGGGAACUGCAUUCGAAACUGGCAGGCUAGAGUCUUGUAGAGGGGGGUAGAAUUCCAGGUGUAGCGGUGAAAUGCGUAGAGAUCUGGAGGAAUACCGGUGGCGAAGGCGGCCCCCUGGACAAAGACUGACGCUCAGGUGCGAAAGCGUGGGGAGCAAACA
rnacentral:rRNA from 1 species